rnacentral:rRNA from 1 species
GACGAACGCUGGCGGCGUGCUUAACACGUGCAAGUCGAACGGAAAGGCCCUGCUUUUGUGGGGUGCUCGAGUGGCGAACGGGUGAGUAACACGUGAGUAACCUGCCCUUGACUUUGGGAUAACUUCAGGAAACUGGGGCUAAUACCGGAUAGGAGCUCCUGCUGCAUGGUGGGGGUUGGAAAGUUUCGGCGGUUGGGGAUGGACUCGCGGCUUAUCAGCUUGUUGGUGGGGUAGUGGCUACCAAGGCUUUGACGGGUAGCCGGCCUGAGAGGGUGACCGGCCACAUUGGGACUGAGAUACGGCCCAGACUCCUACGGGAGGCAGCAGUGGGGAAUAUUGCACAAUGGGCGGAAGCCUGAUGCAGCAACGCCGCGUGCGGGAUGACGGCCUUCGGGUUGUAAACCGCUUUCGCCUGUGACGAAGCGUGAGUGACGGUAAUGGGUAAAGAAGCACCGGCUAACUACGUG